rnacentral:rRNA from 1 species
UACGUAGGGUGCAAGCGUUGUCCGGAAUUAUUGGGCGUAAAGAGCUCGUAGGCGGUCUGUCGCGUCGGCUGUGAAACCCGGAGCUCAACUCCGGGCCUGCAGUCGAUACGGGCAAACUGGAGUACUGCAGGGGAGACUGGAAUUCCUGGUGUAGCGGUGAAAUGCGCAGAUAUCAGGAGGAACACCGGUGGCGAAGGCGGGUCUCUGGGCAGUAACUGACGCUGGAGGAGCGAAAGCCGUGGGGAGCGAACAGG